UUCCUGGAAAAUCCCAGAGGAGAAAUAUAUAUUCCACAUUUAUCAACUUUUCUUGUUUUUAUCAAAGAAAGACUGAAAGAAAUUUAGGCAAAUUAAGCCCUAAAGCACACUAUAAUUUUCUAUUUCUGAACCGAUUUGUAAGAGAAUGGGUAACUGAAAUUAGCAAAGAAUCACCCCACACAAAGAUGGCGCGUGCAGAAUUUGUGAAAGCGAAAAGGAAGACGAAGGAGAAGCAAAAAAGGGACGGAAUACUGCAGUGCUGGGUGCUGGAGUCCAGAAAUGAUUUUUUUCGAUGAAUUUAGGAUUUUACCGCAGUAUACAUCUGCAGUCCCAGAAUCCUCCGAAGUUAUUCACCUCAUUUUUGAUUGAACUGGAACAAUUUGAAUAUUGUGAGAGAAUAAAAAUUCUGAGCAAUUUGCAAAAUUCAACUAAUGUUUUAAAGUUAGUCAUCCAGUAAUUCCUCAGUACACUUGAAUUUGACUGGAAAAACAGCUUACUGCU